GUAAUACUCGGUGUGUAGGGAAGAAAAAACAAUAUUGACUAGGCCUCUCUGAGGUGGGUAGUAGUAGAUAUGGCCUUGUACAAGGAGGGUAAUAAUUGGGCUACUGAGUAGGAGGGACGUGGUAAGUAAGGUAGUAAUCUCUAUGUAGGGAAGAUAGUAGGAGGGUAGUAAUCUCUAUGUAGGGAAGAUAGUAGGAGGGUAGUAAUCUCUAUGUAGGGAAGAUAGUAGGAGGGACGUGGUAAGUAAGGUAGUAAUCUCUAUGUAGGGAAGAUAGUAGGAGGGACGUGGUAAGUAAGGUAGUAAUCUCUAUGUAGGGAAGAUGGUAGGAGGGACGUGGUAAGUAAGGUAGUAAUCUCUAUGUAGGGAAGAUAGUAGGAGGGACGUGGUAAGUAAGGUAGUAAUCUCUAUGUAGGGAAGAUAGUAGGAGGGACGUGGUAAGUAAGGUAGUAAUCUCUAUGUAGGGAAGAUAGUAGGAGGGACGUGGUAUGUAAGGUAGUAAUCUCUAUGUAGGGAAGAUAGUAGGAGGGAUGUGGUAAGUAAGGUAGUAAUCUCUAUGUAGGGAAGAUAGUAGGAGGGACGUGGUAAGUAAGGUAGUAAUCUCUAUGUAGGGAAGAUAGUAGGAGGGACGUGGUAAGUAAGGUAGUAAUCUCUAUGUAGGGAAGAUAGUAGGAGGGACGUGGUAAGUAAGGUAGUAAUCUCUAUGUAGGGAAGAUAGUAGGAGGGACGUGGUAAGUAAGGUAGUAAUCUCUAUGUAGUGAAGAUAGUAGGAGGGACGUGGUAAGGUAGUAAUCUCUAUGUAGGGAAGAUAGUAGGAGGGACGUGGUAAGUAAGGUAGUAAUCUCUAUGUAGUGAAGAUAGUAGGAGGGACGUGGUAAGGUAGUAAUCUCUAUGUAGGGAAGAUAGUAGGAGGGACGUGGUAAGUAAGGUAGUAAUCUCUAUGUAGGGAAGAUAGUAGGAGGGACGUGGUAAGUAAGGUAGUAAUCUCUAUGUAGGGAAGAUAGUAGGAGGGACGUGGUAAGUAAGAUAGUAAUCUCUAUGUAGGGAAGAUAGUAGGAGGGACGUGGUAAGUAAGGUAGUAAUCUCUAUGUAGGGAAGAUAGUAGGAGGGACGUGGUAAGUAAGGUAGUAAUCUCUAUGUAGGGAAGAUAGUAGGAGGGACGUGGUAAGUAAGGUAGUAAUCUCUAUGUAGGGAAGAUAGUAGGAGGGACGUGGUAUGUAAGGUAGUAAUCUCUAUGUAGGGAAGAUAGUAGGAGGGACGUGGUAAGUAAGGUAGUAAUCUCUAUGUAGGGAAGAUAGUAGGAGGGACAUGGUAUGUAAGGUAGUAAUCUCUAUGUAGGGAAGAUAGUAGGAGGGACGUGGUAAGUAAGGUAGUAAUCUCUAUGUAGGGAAGAUAGUAGGAGGGACGUGGUAAGUAAGGUAGUAAUCUCUAUGUAGGGAAGAUAGUAGGAGGGACAUGGUAUGUAAGGUAGUAAUCUCUAUGUAGGGAAGAUAGUAGGAGGGACGUGGUAAGUAAGGUAGUAAUCUCUAUGUAGGGAAGAUAGUAGGAGGGACGUGGUAAGUAAG